rnacentral:rRNA from 1 species
GACGAACGCUGGCGGCGUGCUUAACACAUGCAAGUCGAACGGAAAGGCCCUGCUUUUGUGGGGUGCUCGAGUGGCGAACGGGUGAGUAACACGUGAGUAACCUGCCCUUGACUUUGGGAUAACUUCAGGAAACUGGGGCUAAUACCGGAUAGGAGCUCCUGCUGCAUGGUGGGGGUUGGAAAGUUUCGGCUGUUGGGGAUGGACUCGCGGCUUAUCAGCUUGUUGGUGGGGUAGUGGCUUACCAAGGCUUUGACGGGUAGCCGGCCUGAGAGGGUGACCGGCCACAUUGGGACUGAGAUACGGACCAGAAUCCUACGGGAGGCAGCAGUGGGGAAUAUUGCACAAUGGGCGGAAGCCUGAUGCAGAAACGCCGCGUGCGGGAUGACGGCCUUCGGGUUGUAAACCGCUUUCGCCUGUGACGAAGCGUGAGUGACGGUAAUGGGUAAAGAAGCACCGGCUAACUACGUG